rnacentral:rRNA from 2 species
GACGAACGCUGGCGGCGUGCCUAAUACAUGCAAGUCGAACGCACUCUCGUUAGAUUGAAGAAGCUUGCUUCUGAUUGAUAACAUUUGAGUGAGUGGCGGACGGGUGAGUAACACGUGGGUAACCUGCCCUAAAGUGGGGGAUAACAUUUGGAAACAGAUGCUAAUACCGCAUAAAACCUAGCACCGCAUGGUGUAAGGUUGAAAGAUGGUUUCGGCUAUCACUUUAGGAUGGACCCGCGGUGCAUUAGUUAGUUGGUGAGGUAAAGGCUCACCAAGACCGUGAUGCAUAGCCGACCUGAGAGGGUAAUCGGCCACACUGGGACUGAGACACGGCCCAGACUCCUACGGGAGGCAGCAGUAGGGAAUCUUCCACAAUGGACGAAAGUCUGAUGGAGCAACGCCGCGUGAGUGAAGAAGGUUUUCGGAUCGUAAAACUCUGUUGUUGGAGAAGAACGUAUUUGAUAGUAACUGAUCAGGUAGUGACGGUAUCCAACCAGAAAGCCACGGCUAACUACGUG